AGAGUUUGAUCAUGGCUCAGAUUGAACGCUGGCGGCAUGCCUUACACAUGCAAGUCGAACGGUAACAGGUCUUCGGAUGCUGACGAGUGGCGAACGGGUGAGUAACACAUCGGAACGUGCCCGAGAGUGGGGGAUAACGGAGCGAAAGCUUUGCUAAUACCGCAUACGAUCUACGGAUGAAAGCAGGGGACCGCAAGGCCUUGCGCUCAUGGAGCGGCCGAUGGCAGAUUAGGUAGUUGGUGGGAUAAAAGCUUACCAAGCCGACGAUCUGUAGCUGGUCUGAGAGGACGACCAGCCACACUGGGACUGAGACACGGCCCAGACUCCUACGGGAGGCAGCAGUGGGGAAUUUUGGACAAUGGGCGAAAGCCUGAUCCAGCCAUGCCGCGUGCAGGAUGAAGGCCUUCGGGUUGUAAACUGCUUUUGUACGGAACGAAAAGACUCUGGUUAAUACCUGGGGUCCAUGACGGUACCGUAAGAAUAAGCACCGGCUAACUACGUGCCAGCAGCCGCGGUAAUACGUAGGGUGCAAGCGUUAAUCGGAAUUACUGGGCGUAAAGCGUGCGCAGGCGGUUAUAUAAGACAGAUGUGAAAUCCCCGGGCUCAACCUGGGAACUGCAUUUGUGACUGUAUAGCUAGAGUACGGCAGAGGGGGAUGGAAUUCCGCGUGUAGCAGUGAAAUGCGUAGAUAUGCGGAGGAACACCGAUGGCGAAGGCAAUCCCCUGGGCCUGUACUGACGCUCAUGCACGAAAGCGU
rnacentral:rRNA from 1 species